rnacentral:lncRNA from 1 species
GUGUGUGCCCAGCUGUGGGGCUCAGGUACAGAUGGUCCAGUGUGCCCUAGAAGGACCAGAGGAAUGGCCCAGCAGGGACAGGGUGUUUUAUCACAGCAACAGAAAUGAAACUAAAACAACUUCCACAAUAAAAUUCUUGAGUUUCUUGGGGCCAAGAAGAUGACAGGAUAAGAUAAAGACACUGGCCAAGAUUGACCUCCAGAGUUUGCCCCUUGCUUAAAGGAGAAAAUUCCUUCAGUUAUCCUCUGAUCUCCACAUGCAUUCUGUAACAUGGGUGUAUGCAUACACACGAACACACAUCCACACGUUAAAUAAAUAAAAUAUACUGAAA